rnacentral:rRNA from 1 species
CCUUUAGAGAUUGAGGGGUGCUCGAAAGAGAGCCGUAACACAGGUGCUGCAUGGCUGUCGUCAGCUCGUGUCGUGAGAUGUUGGGUUAAGUCCCGCAACGAGCGCAACCCUUGUCAUUAGUUGCUACAUUCAGUUGGGCACUCUAAUGAGACUGCCGGUGACAAGCCGGAGGAAGGUGGGGAUGACGUCAAGCCCUCAUGGCCCUUAUAGGUGGGGCUACACACGUCAUACAAUGGCUGGUACAAAGGGUUGCCAACCCGCGAGGGGGAGCUAAUCCCACAAAGCCAGUCGUAGUCCGGAUCGUAGUCUGCAACUCGACUACGUGAAGUCGGAAUCGCUAGUAAUCGUGGAUCAGAAUGUCACGGUGAAUACGUUCCCGGGUCUUGUACACACCGCCCGUCACACCAUGGGAGCGGGUUCUGCCAGAAGUAGUUAGCUUAACCGCAAGGAGGGCGAUUACCACGGCAGGGUUCGUGACUGGGGUGAAGUCGUACCAAGGUA